CAGUGAAGCGGGAUCUGCAGACACACUUCAGCAUCAAGCUGACUUAUCACUCCUCUGGAAACGGUUAACAUGCCUGGUCCAGCCACCCGUCAUGUGGAUGUGAUGUGCCUCUCAGCAGUUCUGAAGAUGACAGAAAACCCCAGGCCCCACCAGCAGAGCAGCAGAGCAGCAGAGUGGCAGAGUGGCAGAGAAGGAGAGAAGCAGCAGCCAGAUGUUGGAGAGAAGCAGCUUGACUUCAGAGGGACAACUUGGUAGCGGGACCUCGGAGAAGAGUUUGGCCAGGGAUGCCCAAACUCCAGGGGAAGACCACCUUCCCACUCCAUCCCCUUUCCAGCUCCCCAUUCCAUUGAGAGCCACUUCCACCACUAAAUAAAAU
rnacentral:lncRNA from 10 species